GCCAAUGUAGCUCAGUGGAUAGAGCAUUGGCCUGCAGACUGGAGGGUCCCGGUUUGAUUCCGGUCAAAGGCA
rnacentral:tRNA from 1 species